GGAUCGAUGAUGACAGCAAGUCUCUGAGGAUGGUGAUCGACUCGUAACUAUGCCAAUUUGAGUUCC
rfam:Mesocricetus auratus contig197534, whole genome shotgun sequence.